CAGCAGCCACGGGAAUACGAAGGGUGCAAGCGUUAAUCGGAAUUACUGGGCGUAAAGCGUGCGUAGGCGGUGAGUUAAGUCUGCUGUGAAAUCCCCGGGCUCAACCUGGGAAUGGCAGUGGAUACUGGCUCGCUAGAGUGUGUCAGAGGAUGGUGGAAUUCCCGGUGUAGCGGUGAAAUGCGUAGAGAUCGGGAGGAACAUCAGUGGCGAAGGCGGCCAUCUGGGACAACACUGACGCUGAGGCACGAAAGCGUGGGGAGCAAACAGGAUUAGAUACCCCGGUAGUCCCUGUCUCUUAUAA
rnacentral:rRNA from 1 species